ACCUUCGGGCCUCUUGCCAUCGGAUGUGCCCAGAUGGGAUUAGCUUGUUGGUGGGGUAACGGCUCACCAAGGCGACGAUCCCUAGCUGGUCUGAGAGGAUGACCAGCCACACUGGAACUGAGACACGGUCCAGACUCCUACGGGAGGCAGCAGUGGGGAAUAUUGCACAAUGGGCGCAAGCCUGAUGCAGCCAUGCCGCGUGUAUGAAGAAGGCCUUCGGGUUGUAAAGUACUUUCAGCGGGGAGGAAGGGAGUAAAGUUAAUACCUUUGCUCAUUGACGUUACCCGCAGAAGAAGCACCGGCUAACUCCGUGCCAGCAGCCGCGGUAAUACGGAGGGUGCAAGCGUUAAUCGGAAUUACUGGGCGUAAAGCGCACGCAGGCGGUUUGUUAAGUCAGAUGUGAAAUCCCCGGGCUCAACCUGGGAACUGCAUCUGAUACUGGCAAGCUUGAGUCUCGUAGAGGGGGGUAGAAUUCCAGGUGUAGCGGUGAAAUGCGUAGAGAUCUGGAGGAAUACCGGUGGCGAAGGCGGCCCCCUGGACGAAGACUGACGCUCAGGUGCGAAAGCGUGGGGAGCAAACAGGAUUAGAUACCCUGGUAGUCCACGCCGUAAACGAUGUCGACUUGGAGGUUGUGCCCUUGAGGCGUGGCUUCCGGAGCUAACGCGUUAAGUCGACCGCCUGGGGAGUACGGCCGCAAGGUUAAAACUCAAAUGAAUUGACGGGGGCCCGCACAAGCGGUGGAGCAUGUGGUUUAAUUCGAUGCAACGCGAAGAACCUUACCUGGUCUUGACAUCCACGGAAGUUUUCAGAGAUGAGAAUGUGCCUUCGGGAACCGUGAGACAGGUGCUGCAUGGCUGUCGUCAGCUCGUGUUGUGAAAUGUUGGGUUAAGUCCCGCAACGAGCGCAACCCUUAUCCUUUGUUGCCAGCGGUCCGGCCGGGAACUCAAAGGAGACUGCC
rnacentral:rRNA from 1 species